UACAGAGGUCUCAAGCGUUGUUCGGAUUUAUUGGGCGUAAAGAGCGUGUAGGCGGCCAGACAGGUCCGUUGUGAAAACUAGAGGCUUAACCUCUAGACGUCGAUGGAAACCGUCUGGCUAGAGUCCGGAAGAGGAGAAUGGAAUUCCUGGUGUAGCGGUGAAAUGCGCAGAUAUCAGGAAGAACACCCGUGGCUAAGGCGGUUCUCUAGUACGGUACUGACGCUGAGACGCGAAAGCGUGGGGAGCGAACAGG
rnacentral:rRNA from 1 species